AGUGAACGCUGGCGGUAGACCUAACACAUGCAAGUCGAACGGCAGCACAGGAGAGCUUGCUCUCUGGGUGGCGAGUGGCGGACGGGUGAGGAAUACAUCGGAAUCUGCUUUUUCGUGGGGGAUAACGUAGGGAAACUUACGCUAAUACCGCAUACGACCUACGGGUGAAAGCAGGGGACCUUCGGGCCUUGCGCGAUUGAAUGAGCCGAUGUCGGAUUAGCUAGUUGGCGGGGUAAAGGCCCACCAAGGCGACGAUCCGUAGCUGGUCUGAGAGGAUGAUCAGCCACACUGGAACUGAGACACGGUCCAGACUCCUACGGGAGGCAGCAGUGGGGAAUAUUGGACAAUGGGCGCAAGCCUGAUCCAGCCAUACCGCGUGGGUGAAGAAGGCCUUCGGGUUGUAAAGCCCUUUUGUUGGGAAAGAAAUCCAGCUGGCCAAUACCCGGUUGGGAUGACGGUACCCAAAGAAUAAGCACCGGCUAACUUCGUGCCAGCCGCCGCCGUAA
rnacentral:rRNA from 1 species